rnacentral:lncRNA from 1 species
CGGACGGCACGCCGCCGCCGGAAGCCGCCGGCUCUGCCUCCCCUUCCCAUCUCCUCAACCUCUCUUCCUCUCCCUCAUCUCUCGUCCCCGUGACCUCUCUCCCUCUCCCUCAUCUCUCGCCUACCCCUGUCCUCUCCUCAUCGCGAGCUGCGGCCGGUCCGACGCCCUUCGCCGCCUGCCACCACCUUCUCUUGCCCGGCAGAAGCACCGCCGUCGCCGUCCCACGACAGACAGUAGCAGCCGCCCAGCCACCUCCUCCCCCUAUCUCGACUGGAACAGCGGGGCAGCCACCGAAGCCAUAGCGCCGCCGCCGUCCCUGCUUCUCUACACCGCCGCCUCGGCAUAUGCAGCGGCGGCCGUUGCUCCGACGAGCAACCCCUUACCCCAUUUCAUUUUAAUUCCCUCCAUUAUUCAAGGUUUCUAAAUCUGAGUUUCUUUAUUGUAAAAUCAGUGAAAUAUGCAUUCUAUUUCAAUUUCUUAUCAAUUAAAUACCUGUGUAUGCAUGUUUGAAUUUAUAAAAACAAGAAUUUUGUGGGAGUUUGGUUGUUUUCUGUAAAUUGAAAGAAAGCAGAGAUCUUUGCAUAUGAAAAUAAAACUAUACAAGUUUAUGAGAAUUACCGAUGGAGAUUCGGCAGUGAGAAGAAACAGGAUGAAUUUUAAAAGACUGAAUUUGUUUUGUUGAUUUGUGAAUUUGAGGAUGAUACAAUGAGGUUUAAAUAGAUUGAAUUUACUUGUUCGUCAACUACUGUGUGAAAGAAAUCAAAGUUUGCUGCGGUAGAAAUCAAAGUUUGAAAUCAAAGUUUGUUGCUGUGUUGAUCAAAUCUUACGUGCUGCUGUGUUUAUCAAAUAUUACGGAAAGAAAUCAAAUUUGGCUGGCUG